CCAAGUUUCCUAUACAACAUUCUGACUAUGUCUAUGUAGUGCCACAUCUUGGCUGUAUCUGAUUUACGGAUCGCUCGGAUUGCAUUGCUAGGAAGUUAGCAGUUUGUGAAUGAGAUCCAUGUCCGGGGACUAUGCCCCACUGCAUGGAUCGCCUAUGAUACAGAAAUGAGCUUGACGGUUCGGCUAGUAACACUCUUACUUACUGCGCUUGUCUUGUUCAUCCGCCGACUCUGACUGGAGCGGCCAUGUAGUUGCGUGCAGGUGGUAACGUUCUGCACGUGAUUUAUUGGCUGCACCCUUUGAAUUGUAAAUGUUCAGUCAGAGACCCGGUACGUUGCAAACCUUCUCCCUUCGGGUGAGUCCUCUGUGUACAUUUUCAAAUAUUUUAAACAACCUUGGCUAUGGGUGGUGCCGCGUCGGUAUGCAAAUGCUGACAACGUGCUAUUCUGGCCCGGUGCGCGUUGCCUUCGGGUGACAAACGCCAACCUUA
rnacentral:misc_RNA from 1 species